UUGAACGCUGGCGGCAGGCCUAACACAUGCAAGUCGAGCGGUAACACAGAGAGCUUGCUCUCGGGUGACGAGCGGCGGACGGGUGAGUAAUGUCUGGGAAACUGCCUGAUGGAGGGGGAUAACUACUGGAAACGGUAGCUAAUACCGCAUAACGUCGCAAGACCAAAGUGGGGGACCUUCGGGCCUCAUGCCAUCAGAUGUGCCCAGAUGGGAUUAGCUAGUAGGUGGGGUAACGGCUCACCUAGGCGACGAUCCCUAGCUGGUCUGAGAGGAUGACCAGCCACACUGGAACUGAGACACGGUCCAGACUCCUACGGGAGGCAGCAGUGGGGAAUAUUGCACAAUGGGCGCAAGCCUGAUGCAGCCAUGCCGCGUGUGUGAAGAAGGCCUUCGGGUUGUAAAGCACUUUCAGCGGGGAGGAAGGCGGUGAGGUUAAUAACCUCAUCGAUUGACGUUACCCGCAGAAGAAGCACCGGCUAACUCCGUGCCAGCAGCCGCGGUAAUACGGAGGGUGCAAGCGUUAAUCGGAAUUACUGGGCGUAAAGCGCACGCAGGCGGUCUGUCAAGUCGGAUGUGAAAUCCCCGGGCUCAACCUGGGAACUGCAUUCGAAACUGGCAGGCUAGAGUCUUGUAGAGGGGGGUAGAAUUCCAUGUGUAGCGGUGAAAUGCGUAGAGAUCUGGAGGAAUACCGGUGGCGAAGGCGGCCCCCUGGACAAAGACUGACGCUCAGGUGCGAAAGCGUGGGGAGCAAACAGGAUUAGAUACCCUGGUAGUCCACGCCGUAAACGAUGUCGAUUUGGAGGUUGUGCCCUUGAGGCGUGGCUUCCGGAGCUAACGCGUUAAAUCGACCGCCUGGGGAGUACGGCCGCAAGGUUAAAACUCAAAUGAAUUGACGGGGGCCCGCACAAGCGGUGGAGCAUGUGGUUUAAUUCGAUGCAACGCGAAGAACCUUACCUGGUCUUGACAUCCACGGAAGUUUUCAGAGAUGAGAAUGUGCCUUCGGGAACCGUGAGACAGGUGCUGCAUGGCUGUCGUCAGCUCGUGUUGUGAAAUGUUGGGUUAAGUCCCGCAACGAGCGCAACCCUUAUCCUUUGUUGCCAGCGGUUAGGCCGGGAACUCAAAGGAGACUGCCAGUGAUAAACUGGAGGAAGGUGGGGAUGACGUCAAGUCAUCAUGGCCCUUACGACCAGGGCUACACACGUGCUACAAUGGCAUAUACAAAGAGAAGCGACCUCGCGAGAGCAAGCGGACCUCAUAAAGUAUGUCGUAGUCCGGAUUGGAGUCUGCAACUCGACUCCAUGAAGUCGGAAUCGCUAGUAAUCGUAGAUCAGAAUGCUACGGUGAAUACGUUCCCGGGCCUUGUACACACCGCCCGUCACACCAUGGGAGUGGGUUGCAAAAGAAGUAGGUAGCUUAACCUUCGGGAGGGCGCUUACCACUUUGUGAUUCAUGACUGGGGUG
rnacentral:rRNA from 1 species